AACCUGGUUGAUCCUGCCAGUAGUCAUAUGCUUGUCUCAAAGAUUAAGCCAUGCAUGUCUAAGUAUAAGCGACUAUACUGUGAAACUGCGAAUGGCUCAUUAAAUCAGUUAUGGUUUAUUUGAUGGUACCUACUACUUGGAUAACCGUAGUAAUUCUAGAGCUAAUACAUGCAGGAAGACCCGACUUACGAAGGGUUGUAUUUAUUAGAUAAGAAACCAAUCCCCUCGGGGUUGCGUGCUGAGUCACAAUAACUGCUCGAAUCGCAUGGCUUUACGCCGGCGAUGGUUCAUUCAAAUUUCUGCCCUAUCAGCUUUCGAUGGUAGGAUCGAGGCCUACCAUGGCGUUUACGGGUAACGGAGAAUUAGGGUUCGAUUCCGGAGAGGGAGCCUGAGAAAUGGCUACCACAUCCAAGGAAGGCAGCAGGCGCGUAAAUUGCCCGAAUCCUGACACAGGGAGGUAGUGACAAGAAAUAACAAUACAGGGCUAAUCUAGUCUUGUAAUUGGAAUGAGUACAAUUUACAUCUCUUCACGAAGAUCAAUUGGAGGGCAAGUCUGGUGCCAGCAGCCGCGGUAAUCCAGCUCCAAUAGCGUAUAUUAAGUUGUUGCAGUUAAAAGCUGUAGUGGAUUCUGCAGGAGCGUCGGUCUGCACUAGUGUGGAACCUG
rnacentral:rRNA from 1 species